ACGUACACCUCUAAUUAUUCAUAACCAAAUUCCAUCUAUUUUUUUCCGGUUAACAAAAAGUAAUGCAAAAACGGCCGUCUGUAGCUCCGGUAGAUUCUCCAACUAUCAACGGGUACUUUCUCUCUCUAUAUCUCUAUCUGUAUCUUUAAAGUACUACUUCUACUUAAUUCUAAAAAAAAAAAACUAACUUCUAUUUAAAUUAAAAACGAUACGGGAAUUAUUUUUAAUCAUUCGAGCACGAAGAUCUACGAUAAAUACAUUAUUUUUUGUUCAAAUCUUAUAAAAGGCGAAAAUUCCAUUUUUUUAAGUGUAAUUAAUUUCACAGUAAAUAUAAAUUAACUUCAUACAUUUAGUUUCACUACAAAUUCAGCUUGGAAUAUGAGGGCCGCAGCUGCAUCCCUCCAAAAAAUAGUAGUAAUAUUAGUAUUUGUACGAAAAUUAUUUUAGAUUUAAUUUUUGCAUAUCAAUUAAAAAUAGAGAUGGUCUUGGGUAAAAUCGAUUGUACUGUAUAAUCAGGUUGCACUCGCAUCCGGAAUAGUGUCAUUUACAUGAUUUGAAUCAAGAUGCGGGUUCGGGUUCGAGUGCGGGUCAGGGUCUGAUGUGCAACCCGCUUAUAUGAUACACCCGAUUGUACCCUAAUUUUUGUGUUAAAAAUAUAACCUCAAAUAAAAACAUAAGCUCAACUUAAAAAUAAAUCCUAAAUUUCAAAUUAAACAAUAUUUGAGUAUGUUUAUUUUUAUCAUUAAAUAUUUUAUAUAUUUAUAAUCAUUUAAUUAUUUAUUGCAACUUUAAUUUGAAAAUCCUGAAUUCGUCAUUGUUUAGUUUUCACAGAAAAAUGUAUUUUUUUUCUCAAAAAAGAAAAAGAAAAAUGUAUUUUCCACGGUAACCAAUAUCAAGCACGUGCAGGAUGGAGUCUCAAAACAACACACCGGAGAUCACCGCCGCCGCCGAUGCCGACGCAGCACCUGAACCCUCCUCCUCCUCCACCGCCGCCGUCGCCUCCGCC
rnacentral:lncRNA from 1 species